UUGUCGAGCGUUACACACGAGAAGACAGAGCCUUGUUCCCAAGCAAAGCAGUUGUCAAGAGCCCAUUCACGAAGCAACAUCUGAACAAGAGCGCAACAAGAAGAACGAUACAACAUGAGUACCAAGGACGCAAAUCACGUUAAGAGGCCGAUGAAUGCCUUCAUGGUCUGGUCCAAGGAACGGAGGAGAAUCAAAUCACAAGAAUGUCCGAGAAUGCACAAUUCCGAAAUUAGUAAGAUUCUGGGCUGCGAGUGGAAGGCUAUGAAAGACGAGCUCAAGCAGCCUUACAUCGAGAAAGCCAAGGAAUUACAAGCUCAGCAUAGCCGAGAAAACCCCGGCUACAAGUACAAACCACGCAGGAGAAAACCUAAGCAAACUUUGCUAAAGAAGGCUGCGUAUCCUUUCCCUUACACUCCAACCGAAAUGGCUCCACAUGCGAUGAAGAUGGGUUACGCUGGAGGUAUGCCUACACCGGAGUCUAUGUACCAGCAGUUUUAUCCUAUGCAAGGCCAACCGGCGUAUUCGGUAUAUGAUAUGUCAGGAGUGCAUGCAGCUAGGCAAACAUACGCCGGUCCACCUCCGCCACAUAGUCCACCAGUACACGAACUCGCGUACUCUUCUGUGCGCUCUGCGGACAUGUUAGUCUCGCCGAACGCGCACAUCUAUGGAGGGCCUAUGGACCCUUCGACGCCGACCACCUCGUCCAUGUCAGCUUUCGCAUCUUCUCAACACAUGCAGCAGCCUCACCAGCAACCGGGACAAGAUCACAACUCUGCGCCGUAUCCGCAAGCCCUAUUUACACAGAGACACAUGUGACUUUACGGUAGCUAAUUUGCUUUACUCUUUAAGUUGUGUAACUAACGGUUUUUACAAGACAACUAUGACAUUCUAAUUCAAGUGUCAAGUUCUGUAACUUGACGCUAUUUUGUAUCACUCCGCUAUGCGGACGUCUUUAUCGAAUACCUAGUAUUUAUUGCUAAAUGAGUAGAUAGGGGUCUUCGACGACUCGCCUAACUCGAUACGCUGAUAGGCGUUUUUGUUGAUUCGAUUAACUUUCGCUAACCGCGCGCUCUCUCUGAGAUCAAAUAUUCCCAUUGACGGGACUCGGACAAAUCCAAUCUGUGCAACAACGCUUUUGUGUGAAUUUUCGACAAAUCAGCGUAAUGCUUUUACUCACUUAUUCUCUUAUCUUGACGCCUUCGAUUUCUAAAACUCGGAAGUAAAGGAGACAGAUAGGAGAACAUAGUUUUAUGUAUUUCAAGUUUUUUUUUUUCUGGCACCUUCUGCCCUAUACGAAGUUUUCACUGAAUGUAUUACACAGAUACUUUUGCGAAGAUAUUUAAUUACAAAAGAUAUAUGUU